CUGNCUAACACAUGCAAGUCGAGCGGUAGCACAGAGGAGCUUGCUCCUCGGGUGACGAGCGGCGGACGGGUGAGUAAUGUCUGGGAAACUGCCUGAUGGAGGGGGAUAACUACUGGAAACGGUAGCUAAUACCGCAUAACGUCGCAAGACCAAAGAGGGGGACCUUCGGGCCUCUUGCCAUCAGAUGUGCCCAGAUGGGAAGAUGUGCCCAGAUGGGAUUAGCUAGUAGGUGGGGUAACGGCUCACCUAGGCGACGAUCCCUAGCUGGUCUGAGAGGAUGACCAGCCACACUGGAACUGAGACACGGUCCAGACUCCUACGGGAGGCAGCAGUGGGGAAUAUUGCACAAUGGGCGCAAGCCUGAUGCAGCCAUGCCGCGUGUAUGAAGAAGGCCUUCGGGUUGUAAAGUACUUUCAGCGGGGAGGAAGGUGUUGAGGNUAAUAACCUCAGCAAUUGACGUUACCCGCAGAAGAAGCACCGGCUAACUCCGUGCCAGCAGCCGCGGUAAUACGGAGGGUGCAAGCGUUAAUCGGAAUUACUGGGCGUAAAGCGCACGCAGGCGGUCUGUCAAGUCGGAUGUGAAAUCCCCGGGCUCAACCUGGGAACUGCAUUCGAAACUGGCAGGCUAGAGUCUUGUAGAGGGGGGUAGAAUUCCAGGUGUAGCGGUGAAAUGCGUAGAGAUCUGGAGGAAUACCGGUGGCGAAGGCGGCCCCCUGGACAAAGACUGACGCUCAGGUGCGAAAGCGUGGGGAGCAAACAGGAUUAGAUACCCUGGUAGUCCACGCCGUAAACGAUGUCGACUUGGAGGUUGUGCCCUUGAGGCGUGGCUUCCGGAGCUAACGCGUUAAGUCGACCGCCUGGGGAGUACGGCCGCAAGGUUAAAACUCAAAUGAAUUGACGGGGGCCCGCACAAGCGGUGGAGCAUGUGGUUUAAUUCGAUGCAACGCGAAGAACCUUACUUACUCUUGACAUCCAGAGAACUUUCCAGAGAUGGAUUGGUGCCUUCGGGAACUCUGAGACAGGUGCUGCAUGGCUGUCGUCAGCUCGUGUUGUGAAAUGUUGGGUUAAGUCCCGCAACGAGCGCAACCCUUAUCCUUUGUUGCCAGCGGUUAGGCCGGGAACUCAAAGGAGACUGCCAGUGAUAAACUGGAGGAAGGUGGGGAUGACGUCAAGUCAUCAUGGCCCUUACGAGUAGGGCUACACACGUGCUACAAUGGCGCAUACAAAGAGAAGCGACCUCGCGAGAGCAAGCGGACCUCAUAAAGUGCGUCGUAGUCCGGAUUGGAGUCUGCAACUCGACUCCAUGAAGUCGGAAUCGCUAGUAAUCGUAGAUCAGAAUGCUACGGUGAAUACGUUCCCGGGCCUUGUACACACCGCCCGUCACACCAUGGGAGUGGGUUGCAAAAGAAGUAGGUAGCUUAACCUUCGGGAGGGCGCUUACCACUUUGUGAUUCAUGACUGGGGUGAAGUCGUAAC
rnacentral:rRNA from 1 species